rnacentral:rRNA from 1 species
UAAGACAGAGGGUGCAAGCGUUGUUCGGAAUUACUGGGCGUAAAGGGCGCGUAGGCGGUCCGCUAAGUUCGGCGUGAAAUCCCCUGGCUCAACUGGGGAACGGCGCUGGAUACUGGUGGACUCGAGUACCGGAGAGGAGAGUGGAAUUCCUGGUGUAGCGGUGAAAUGCGUAGAUAUCAGGAGGAACACCGGUGGCGAAGGCGGCUCUCUGGACGGAUACUGACGCUGAGGCGCGAAAGCGUGGGGAUCAAACAGGAUUAGAUACCCUGGUAGUCCACGCUGUAAACGAUGGGGACUAGGUGUGGGGGGUAUUGACCCUCCCGUGCCGCCGCUAACGCAUUAAGUCCCCCGCCUGGGGAUUACGGCCGCAAGGUUA